UACGUAGGGGGCAAGCGUUGUCCGGAAUCAUCGGGCGUAAAGCGCGCGUAGGCGGCCCGGUAAGUCCGUUGUGAAAGUCAAAGGCUCAACCUUUGAAUGCCGAUGGAUACUGCCGGGCUCGAGUCCGGAAGAGGCGAGUGGAAUUCCUGGUGUAGCGGUGGAAUGCGCAGAUAUCAGGAGGAACACCAAUAGCGAAGGCAGCUCACUGGGACGGUACUGACGCUAAGGCGCGAAAGCGUGGGGAGCGAACAGG
rnacentral:rRNA from 1 species